AGUGAACGCUGGCGGUAGGCCUAACACAUGCAAGUCGAACGGCAGCACAGUAAGAGCUUGCUCUUACGGGUGGCGAGUGGCGGACGGGUGAGGAAUACAUCGGAAUCUACUUUUUCGUGGGGGAUAACGUAGGGAAACUUACGCUAAUACCGCAUACGACCUACGGGUGAAAGCAGGGGAUCUUCGGACCUUGCGGGAUUGAAUGAGCCGAUGUCGGAUUAGCUAGUUGGCGGGGUAAAGGCCCACCAAGGCGACGAUCCGUAGCUGGUCUGAGAGGAUGAUCAGCCACACUGGAACUGAGCCACGGUCCAGACUCCUACGGGAGGCAGCAGUGGGGAAUAUUGGACAAAGGGCGCAAGCCUGAUCCAGCCAUACCGCGUGGGUGAAGAAGGCCUUCGGGUUGUAAAGCCCUUUUGUUGGGAAAGAAAAGCAGCAGGUUAAUACCCAGCUGUUCUGACGGUACCCAAAGAAUAAGCACCGGCUAACUUCGUG
rnacentral:rRNA from 1 species